GCUGGCGGCGUGCCUACCAUGCAAGUCAGGAGAAUUCCCGACUUGUCGGGAUAGUAAACUGGCGAACGGGUGAGUAACACGUAGGUAAUCUACCCUCGGGAUGGGGAUAACCCACCGAAAGGUGGGCUAAUACCGAAUAAUGUUCCGCUUUAAUCGAGCGGAAUGAAAGGUGGGGACCUUCGGGCCUACUGCCUGAGGAUGAGCCUGCGUCCCAUUAGCUAGUUGGUAAGGUAAUGGCUUACCAAGGCGACGAUGGGUAGCUGGUCUGAGAGGAUGAUCAGCCACAUUGGGACUGAGAUACGGCCCAAACUCCUACGGGAGGCAGCAGUGAGGAAUUUUGCGCAAUGGCCGCAAGGCUGACGCAGCAACGCCGCGUGACCGAUUAAGCUCUGAGGAGUGUAAAGGUCUGUCGCAGAGGAAGAAACUACCUGAUGAGAAUAUUGUCAGGUACUGACGGUACUCUGUGAGAAAGCUCCGGCUAACUCCGUGCCAGCAGCCGCGGUAAUACGGGGGGAGCAAGCGUUGUCCGGAAUCACUGGGCGUAAAGAGCGUGUAGGUGUCCUAAUAAGUCUCUGGUGAAAGCCUUCUGCUUAACGG
rnacentral:rRNA from 1 species